GACGCUUAAUUGUCUGAUUCUUUACUUGUUGAUCUGUUUGGUUUUGGUUGUAUGGCACUGGACUACAUUGUAUACAUUAAGCUGCAGACUUAAAUUGCUCUCAAAGGUAUGCUUGGAGUUAUUUCUGUUUGUCAAUGUCAUGCAGACUCAUGCAGUGACAUUGGCAAACAGAAAUAACAGAAAUAACUCUGAAGUGUUUACAAUAAGCUAUAAUUGUUAUGCAUUUCUCCUUUUUGCAUUUUGUCUUUUGAGACUUAAAUUUGCAAUUUGACUUUGACUAGCAACAGGCUAUAGGAGAUUGAUGCCUUAUGGUAGCUAUGUUAACUAAAUGGCUAUUUUGUUGUAUAAGGUAAUGUUCUGUGUUAAUUGAUAGCUGAACUACUGGUGUUUACUACUUGUAUUGUUUCCUUUUAACCAUAUGGAAACUAUAUUGUUCGACUACUUGCAUGGCCACCAUGCAUGUUGUUUCAGACCAGUGUAGGCACCCCUUAAAAUUGCUGCAAUUAAAGCUGAAAGAAAAUCAUUUUGACACCAAUUUUAUGAAGUAAAUUGAUGACUUUGUCUGCUUGCUUUAUGCUGUAUAGUAGGAUGCUGCUAGGUUAAAAGAGUGCUCUCUUUGCAGACUUCCAUUUUGUUAUCUAUGAACAUGCGUGUGAGCCGGAAAUUAUGACAUAAUUAUAGAUAGCUCCGCCUUCUAUCAUACAUACUUCUGGAAUGCUUUGUCAGCUGACGCUCCGUUUGGUCUUGUUUUAGCUCAUUGAAGAGAUUCUGUCUAGUAUCAGUACCAAGCAUGUCUAAGAAGUGCAUCUGGGCUAUUGUUUUGUUAUUUGGUUUGUGUUGGAGUAGGUUUUGCAUUGUAGGUGGAGAUAAGUUCGACAGUGAUUUGCUUAUUUUGCAGUCUCUAGUGCACAAAUUGAGCUUGUACAAGUCCUUCUUGUUUCCUUCUUGUUUCCUUCUUUUUGACACUGAAGACAAGCAUUACAAUAUAACUUCCACAAACAUGGAUAUCACAGAGACACUGUAUUGCAACCAAACAUGCAGGAAGCAGCCAUACACUAACUCUACAGCCUUGUUUUUGUGGGAUUCUACUUUGGGAUCAGUUUGCAGUUGUGCUUGUGCUUGUGGUACAAUUUCCCAUACACGUUUUUGUUCAGUUAUUGCGAAUUCUGUCGGCCAGUACUGCUGCAUCCAGAGACUUGUCGAUUGCCUGCAAACUAAAGCAAUGGAACAUAUCGAUCAGGAAGUGCAUUGUAAAUUUGACGUUGUAUACGUAUUGGCGCUGCAACGAAUCUGUUUUGAGUUGUGCAACUGCAGGUUACAUUGCUCAUGGGCAAGAAACAGUUUCAGCAACUGAUCACGCAGAAGUGAAGAAUGAGCUAUCUUCUCUACCGAACCUAUUUGAUAAAUCACUUCGAUGGUCUGGACUCUGUUACUCUGGCACCAAGCUCUCGAAUUGGUCAGACAGAGCAUGCUUUCACACAUACUGCUUGGUCUGCUGAUUGCGAUUUCUUUGGGAAUGACUACAAUUUGGUUAACAUUCUUACUGAUAUACCUACAACGCAGAUGGUGGCAGGUAAGGAAAGUAGGCACAGGGUAGGUCAAGCACUAGCUGACAGAAAUGGUCGGUCGGGUUUCAGCUAGGGAAUGGAUGUCCUCAGGCUCUUGACUAUAGAUCGCAAUGGCUGAGUAAUGUCAGCAUUUUAGGGUGUGUUGUGGAUCAUGUGUGUGCUAAAUCUAAUAUGUAUAAUAUGCUUGCUGAGAGGGGAAAGGUCAUACAUGAUUUGCUCAGUUACUGACUUCUGCUAGUAUACUUGUAUUAUUAGAUUGCAGUAUAUGUAGACAACGCAUAUGUAUAAUCACCAUCUACCUAAUCCUAUGUCCGAGUUUGCAAAGGAACUGUCUGUACGAGAUGAAUACCCAAGUGACCGAAUACGUACGGUGAUGGUACUUGCACUAACAAUAUUUGAAUGCAAACUGCCUAUAACUACAUAGAUAGUAAUCAUUGUGCAUUCAGGACAUCUGUUAUCUGUGGUACUGUACUGCUAAUGGUCUGGAAGAUGUUAUGAAGCUUGCUAUUAUAUUAUACGAACACGUACAGGAAAGAUUCGAGAUAGAAAUUAGGCCAUAUCAUUUUUUGCAUGGGUUCAGUGGCGUCAAGGAUGAGUUUUUGUUUUGUUUUUUUGAUUGAGUCUAGGGUAUAGAUACGUCAUACCAAAGAAACCGCAAACCUUAUUGAAUUUGAUCGGUACAGAAGGAUAGUUGCCGUUGGUUGUCGGUCGUCUACUUGCAAGCUUGUGACCGCAUUUACUUACUGCAUGUAUGUGUACGUACGCGUGUAUUGCAAGAAUGGAUCGACAUCGAGGAAUAAACUUGUUCUAGUCGUACGUGUCUAGCUCUUAGAUCGAUUUGUGUUGUCAGUUAUCUAAUAUACGUUGUUUGUAUGCAUACA